rnacentral:tRNA from 1 species
CGGGCUGUAGCUCAGCUUGGCUAGAGCGCUGCGUUCGGGACGCAGAGGUCGAAGGUUCAAAUCCUUUCAGCCCGACUA